GACGAACGCUGGCGGCGUGCUUAACACAUGCAAGUCGAACGAUGAAGCCGGAGCUUGCUCUGGUGAAUUAGUGGCGAACGGGUGAGUAACACGUGAGUAACCUGCCCUUGACUCUGGGAUAACUGCGGGAAACUGUAGCUAAUACCGGAUACGACCCUCGGAGGCAUCUCCUGGGGUGGAAAGAAUUUCGGUCAAGGAUGGACUCGCGGCCUAUCAGCUAGUUGGUGAGGUAACGGCUCACCAAGGCGACGACGGGUAGCCGGCCUGAGAGGGUGACCGGCCACACUGGGACUGAGACACGGCCCAGACUCCUACGGGAGGCAGCAGUGGGGAAUAUUGCACAAUGGGCGCAAGCCUGAUGCAGCAACGCCGCGUGAGGGAUGACGGCCUUCGGGUUGUAAACCUCUUUUAGUAGGGAAGAAGCGAAAGUGACGGUACCUGCAGAAAAAGCACCGGCUAACUACGUGCCAGCCGCCGCCGUAA
rnacentral:rRNA from 1 species